UACGUAGGGUGCAAGCGUUAAUCGGAAUUACUGGGCGUAAAGCGUGCGCAGGCGGUUCUAUAAGACAGAUGUGAAAUCCCCGGGCUCAACCUGGGAACUGCAUUUGUGACUGUAGAGCUGGAGUGCGGCAGAGGGGGAUGGAAUUCCGCGUGUAGCAGUGAAAUGCGUAGAUAUGCGGAGAACACCGAUGGCGAAGGGCAAUCCCCUGGGCCUGCACUGACGCUCAUGCACGAAAGCGUGGGGAGCAAACAGG
rnacentral:rRNA from 1 species